rnacentral:lncRNA from 1 species
AAUAAAUAAAUAAAAUGAAAUGCCCCAAGACACUCCUCCAAUCAGUAAAAUAGAUGGCACCCAGUCCUUAGAAAAUAUCCAAACCCUCAAAACUUGUCGGUACCAUCUUCCAAAAACAAGCAGCCUUCCAAAAUCAAAACCAUUUGCUGCUCAUUCCUCUCUCCAAAGCCUACCUCUUCCUCUUCUGUCAAUCUGGUUCCCUCCUCCUCCCCCAUAAUCUAUCAUUGAUGACCAUCGGAACAUUUCCAAUUAGGUAACUCUCUCUUCCAUUCUUUAAGCAAUCCGCGGCUAAACUAUGUGCUAGGAUAUUAGCAUAUCUGGGUAUGUGUUUGAGCUGGAUACUAUGAAAACUCCUUUUCAAUUGUUGUAUGUCCUAAAUAAUAGCCCCUAUCACUGAUUUAUCUCGAAUGUCCGACUGACUUUUUUUAAUAAUGGUUUUUGCAUCUCCUUCUAUGGUAACUAAUGAGAGGCCUAGAUGGUUUCCCAAAAGCAAGGCCUCAAAGUAAGCAUAUCCUUCCGCUAUAAAUGCCGAAGCGAUCUCCUUGUGCAGUGUCUGUUUUGAAGCCAAAAUCUCACUUGGAGAGUUACGAACAACCACUCCAGAUCUAGAUCUCACCAAAUUUUGAUUACAAGCGGCAUCAAAAUUAACUUUAACAUCAGAACCUAAUGGGGGACACCAUUCCUCAUUAACAAUAGAUCUGGUAAACUUCUUAUCUUCUAAACUGUCAAUCUCUCCAAUAUAUCUUGUUAUCUAGUUCGCUAUUUCUUUUCCUUUAAUCUGACUCUCGUCAUGCAGGACAAGAUUUCUAUUUGUCCAGAUUCCUCAUAUGGCACAAUAAAAUAAUUUGUACUGGUCAUUGGAACUCAUUCGAAAAACCCAGGUAAACCAAUCUCUGUCGUUCAAAUCUAGAUUAGAAAGAAUCUAGUUUAGAUUUAAAUAAUUCCAAACUUUUAUUGAUAUAGAACAUUAUCUAAAAACAUGAUACAAGGGCUCUGCUGCUCCACCACACUUGUGACACAGGACAUCUCUUCUAAUCCUUCUGUGUUGGAGAUUAACAAAAGUAGGCAAGAAAUUCCAAGUGGUUUUCCAUAGAUUAAUUUUUACUUUUGAAGGGAUUUUUAGAGAUCAUAGUUUUUUGUAUAGCUCCCUAGAAUCAUAAUGUGUAUAAUUAGGGUUAAAAGUACCUUUAUGUAAUAGUUUAUAGGAACUUCUGACAGAAAAUUCCCUUGAAGAUUCCCCCUCCAGACCCGUAUGUCUUCAAUCCCUUCUUUGGCCAAAGGAGUUCGUAAGAUUUUCGACGCAAUCUCUUCAAGAAAGGUACUAUUAAUUAGAUUUACUUUCCAUUCUCUAUCAUCUGCAUCAAUGAAGUUAAAAACUAAGUUUAACCCACCAGUAUUAAUUUAUUCAUUAAUUCUAUAGUUCGGGGAACCUGAUAACCAAGCGUCGUCUUUUAUUGAUAUAUUUGAACCUGAGCCAACUCUUCACCAAAGCCCGUUCUCUAGAAGACCCUUAGCCAUCCACACAUUUUUCCAAGUAUACGAAGGUAAAUUGUCAAAUCUCGUAUUAAAAAAAAUCAGAGUUUGGAAAAUAUUUCGCCUUUAACACACGAGAUAAUAAUGAAUUGGGAAAAUUAAUAUUACGCCACCCUUGUUUAGCUAACAAAGCAGCAUUAAAUUUUGCAAGGUUGUCAAAACCUAACUCCCUAAUCUCCUUUGGUUCACUCAAAUAAUUCCAAGUGCACCAAUGUAUACCUUUCUUACCAAAAUAUUAUUGCCACUAAAAUUUUGUCAUAAAACUCUCUAAUUCGUUACAAAGGGUCUUAGGCAAUAAGAAACAUGCCAUCGAAUAAGUGGGAAUAGCUUGAAGGACUGAUUUAAUAAACACUUUUUUGCCC